rnacentral:rRNA from 1 species
UGAACGCUGGCGGCAGGCCUAACACAUGCAAGUCGAACGGCAGCACAGAAGAGCUUGCUCUUUGGGUGGCGAGUGGCGGACGGGUGAGUAAUGUCUGGGAAACUGCCCGAUGGAGGGGGAUAACUACUGGAAACGGUAGCUAAUACCGCAUAACGUCGCGAGACCAAAGUGGGGGACCUUCGGGCCUCACACCAUCGGAUGUGCCCAGAUGGGAUUAGCUAGUAGGUGGGGUAAUGGCUCACCUAGGCGACGAUCCCUAGCUGGUCUGAGAGGAUGACCAGCCACACUGGAACUGAGACACGGUCCAGACUCCUACGGGAGGCAGCAGUGGGGAAUAUUGCACAAUGGGCGCAAGCCUGAUGCAGCCAUGCCGCGUGUAUGAAGAAGGCCUUCGGGUUGUAAAGUACUUUCAGCGGGGAGGAAGGCGGUGAGGUUAAUAACCUUGCCGAUUGACGUUACCCGCAGAAGAAGCACCGGCUAACUCCGUGCCAGCAGCCGCGGUAAUACGGAGGGUGCAAGCGUUAAUCGGAAUUACUGGGCGUAAAGCGCACGCAGGCGGUCUGUUAAGUCAGAUGUGAAAUCCCCGGGCUUAACCUGGGAACUGCAUUUGAAACUGGCAGGCUUGAGUCUCGUAGAGGGGGGUAGAAUUCCAGGUGUAGCGGUGAAAUGCGUAGAGAUCUGGAGGAAUACCGGUGGGCGAAGGCGGCCCCCUGGACGAAGACUGACGCUCAGGUGCGAAAGCGUGGGGGAGCAAACAGGAUUAGAUACCCUGGUAGUCCACGCCGUAAACGAUGUCGACUUGGAGGUUGUGCCCUUGAGGCGUGGCCUCCGGAGCUAACGCGUUAAGUCGACCGCCUGGGGAGUACGGCCGCAAGGUUAAAACUCAAAUGAAUUGACGGGGGCCCGCACAAGCGGUGGAGCAUGUGGUUUAAUUCGAUGCAACGCGAAGAACCUUACCUGGCCUUGACAUCCAGAGAACUUAGCAGAGAUGCUUUGGUGCCUUCGGGAACUCUGAGACAGGUGCUGCAUGGCUGUCGUCAGCUCGUGUUGUGAAAUGUUGGGUUAAGUCCCGCAACGAGCGCAACCCUUAUCCUUUGUUGCCAGCGGCUCGGCCGGGAACUCAAAGGAGACUGCCGGUGAUAAACCGGAGGAAGGUGGGGAUGACGUCAAGUCAUCAUGGCCCUUACGGCCAGGGCUACACACGUGCUACAAUGGCGCAUACAAAGAGAAGCGACCUCGCGAGAGCAAGCGGACCUCAUAAAGUGCGUCGUAGUCCGGAUUGGAGUCUGCAACUCGACUCCAUGAAGUCGGAAUCGUUAGUAAUCGUAGAUCAGAAUGCUACGGUGAAUACGUUCCCGGGCCUUGUACACACCGCCC